rnacentral:tRNA from 1 species
GUUCUUGUAGUUGAAUUACAACGGUGGCAUUUCAAGUCAUCGGUCUUGGUUGAAGUCCAGGCAGGAAUU